AACCUCCUGCCAGAAAAUUGUCACACAUGUUCAAAUAUAGAAAUAUUCAAGAGACGACUUCUUGGUAGACAGAGAACAUUAAUUGCAGCUAGCAAACCUACCCAUGAGAGAAGCUCCUCUACUUCUCUUUCCAUGGCUGCUUCUUCCCUGUCAAUUAGCUCCUUCUUCUGCUGCCAUGAAAGGACCUCCACUUCGGAGGCUUUCUUCUUCUUCUUCUUCUUUGAUUCACUCUCAGACGACAUCAGGGAGAAGGAGGUAAUGGUGAACGUAGAACGACAGGCAGGGCUGGACUGUGGUAUAUAUGGAGGGAUGUCAAAAGUAACGGUUGG
rnacentral:lncRNA from 1 species